rnacentral:rRNA from 1 species
CCUACGGGAGGCAGCAGUGGGGAAUAUUGCACAAUGGGCGCAAGCCUGAUGCAGCAACGCCGCGUGAGGGAUGACGGCCUUCGGGUUGUAAACCUCUUUCAGCUCCGACGAAGCUCUGCUCUUCUGAGCAGAGUGACUGUAGGAGCAGAAGAAGCACCGGCCAACUACGUGCCAGCAGCCGCGGUAACACGUAGGGUGCAAGCGUUGUCCGGAAUCAUUGGGCGUAAAGAGCUCGUAGGCGGCUUAGUAAGUCGGGUGUGAAACCCCCAGGCUCAACCUGGGGACGCCACCCGAUACUGCUAUAGCUAGAGUCCAGUAGGGGAGUGCGGAAUUUCCGGUGUAGCGGUGAAAUGCGCAGAUAUCGGAAGGAACACCGGUGGCGAAGGCGGCUUGCUGGGCCUUACCUGACGCUGAGGAGCGAGAGCGUGGGGAGCGAACAG